UUCAGGUUUGGUAGUGGCCAGUGGACAGCUGCAAGUAGAAAUAGCUACAAUCUGAGAGACACUGUUGCUAGAUGCACCACUCAGGUAUACCCAAGGUCAUGGACAGCGAUCUACAUGCCUCUGGACAACGUGGGAAUGUGGAACAUAAGGUCUGAGAACUGGGCGAGGCAGUACUUGGGGCAGCAAUUCUAUCUUAGGGUAUAUACACCUUCCAAGUCUUAUAGAGACGAAUAUCCAGUCCCAAAGAAUGCUCUUCUUUGUGGCAGGGCAAGGGGUCGUCACACAAGGCCUUUCUGACGAGGACAAGACAAGUCAAACAUCUGAUGUUGAGUUGAGAAUUUGAUUGCCUGUAUUCGAAGAGUUUACUUAAAUGUUGUCUUGUUAAUUUAUGUAAGUAGAAUCGUACAUUCUUGAUUGUCACGAGAGGGUGACAUAAUGUCAUUGAUUUGGAUUUGUUUAUGUUAACAUGCGGGAAAUUUAAAUUCUAGAGCUCAUCUUCAGCUCUGGAUUUUGAUCAAA